rfam:Agrilus planipennis Contig34947, whole genome shotgun sequence.
UAAAAUUCUAAACAGAACGGCCUGAGGUAGAGGGGUUUUAAUCGGAAGGUCCGAGGAAUUCUUCCUCGGGAAUCCGACACUACCCAGUCGUACGGACGGCUGGGUGUCUUUUGAAGAUUUCCCCUCUUUCUCGAA